rnacentral:rRNA from 1 species
AAGCGGAGGAAAAGAAACCAACAGGGAUUGCCCCCAGUAACGGCGAGUGAAGCGGCAAAAGCUCAAAUUUGAAAUCUGGCUCUCUAUGGGAGUCCGAGUUGUAAUUUGCAGAGGGCGCUUUGGCGUCGGCAGCGGUCCAAGUUCCUUGGAACAGGACGUCACAGAGGGUGAGAAUCCCGUACGUGGUCGCCUGCCUUCGCCGUGUAAAGCCCCUUCGACGAGUCGAGUUGUUUGGGAAUGCAGCUCUAAAUGGGAGGUAAAUUUCUCCUAAAGCUAAAUACUGGCCAGAGACCGAUAGCGCACAAGUAGAGUGAUCGAAAGAUGAAAAGCACUUUGGAAAGAGAGUCAAAUAGCACGUGAAAUUGUUGAAAGGGAAGCGCUUGCAGCCAGACGUGCCCGCGGUUGUUCUCUUCCGUGGGCAGGCCAGCAUCAGUUUGGGCGGUCGGAUAAAGGCCUCUGUCACGUAUCUCCCUUCGGGGAGACCUUAUAGGGGAGGCGUAAUGCGAUCAGCCCGGACUGAGGUCCGCGCAUCUGCUAGGAUGCUGGCGUAAUGGCUGUAAGCGGCCCGUCUUGAAACACGGACCAAGGAGUCUAACAUCUAUGCGAGUGUUUGGGUGUCAAGCCCGAGCGCGCAAUGAAAGUGAACGGAGGUGGGAACCCUCUUGGGGGUGCACCAUCGACCGAUCCUGAAGUCUUCGGAUGGAUUUGAGUAAGAGCAUGGCUGUUGGGACCCGAAAGAUGGUGAACUAUGCUUGAAUAGGGUGAAGCCAGAGGAAACUCUGGUGGAGGCUCGCAGCGGUUCUGACGUGCAAAUCGAUCGUCAAAUUUGGGCAUAGGGGCGAAAGAC